ACUGUGAAGCCGGCGCGUGAGCGAUCCGGUGGAGUGAUCACUAGCGAGAAUGAUGACAUGAGUAGCGACAAACAGGGUGAGAGACCCUGUCGCCGAAAGUCCAAGGGUUCCUGUGCAAUGCUAAUCAGCGCAGGGUUAGCCGGCCCCUAAGUCGAGGCAGAAAUGCGUAGACGAUGGGAAUCACGUUAAUAUUCGUGAGCCAGAGGAUGGUGACGGAUUUGUAGAUUUGUAUCCCCUUAUCGGAUUGGGGAUGCAGUGAGCAAGUCCCAGGAAAUAGCCUCCUCAUUAUUGACCGUACUCUAAACCGACACAGGUGGACAGGUAGAGAAUACUAAGGCGCUUGAGAGAACUACGUUGAAGGAACUCGGCAAAAUGCCCCCGUAAGUUCGCGAGAAGGGGGCCCAACCAUUAGGCAACUAGUGGUUGGGGGCACAGACCAGGGGGUGGCGACUGUUUAC
rnacentral:rRNA from 1 species